GAUGAACGCUAGCUACAGGCUUAACACAUGCAAGUCGAGGGGCAUCAGGAAGAAAGCUUGCUUUCUUUGCUGGCGACCGGCGCACGGGUGAGUAACACGUAUCCAACCUGCCCUUUACUCGGGGAUAGCCUUUCGAAAGAAAGAUUAAUACCCGAUGGCAUAAUGAUUCCGCAUGGUUUCAUUAUUAAAGGAUUCCGGUAAAGGAUGGGGAUGCGUUCCAUUAGGUUGUUGGUGAGGUAACGGCUCACCAAGCCUUCGAUGGAUUGGGGUUCUGAGAGGAAGGUCCCCCACAUUGGAACUGAGACACGGUCCAAACUCCUACGGGAGGCAGCAGUGAGGAAUAUUGGUCAAUGGGCGCUAGCCUGAACCAGCCAAGUAGCGUGAAGGAUGAAGGCUCUAUGGGUCGUAAACUUCUUUUAUAUAAGAAUAAAGUGCAGUAUGUAUACUGUUUUGUAUGUAUUAUAUGAAUAAGGAUCGGCUAACUCCGUGCCAGCAGCCGCGGUAAUACGGAGGAUCCGAGCGUUAUCCGGAUUUAUUGGGUUUAAAGGGAGCGUAGGUGGACUGGUAAGUCAGUUGUGAAAGUUUGCGGCUCAACCGUAAAAUUGCAGUUGAUACUGUCAGUCUUGAGUACAGUAGAGGUGGGCGGAAUUCGUGGUGUAGCGGUGAAAUGCUUAGAUAUCACGAAGAACUCCGAUUGCGAAGGCAGCUCACUGGACUGCAACUGACACUGAUGCUCGAAAGUGUGGGUAUCAAACAGGAUUAGAUACCCUGGUAGUCCACACAGUAAACGAUGAAUACUCGCUGUUUGCGAUAUACAGUAAGCGGCCAAGCGAAAGCAUUAAGUAUUCCACCUGGGGAGUACGCCGGCAACGGUGAAGCUCAAAGGAAUUGACGGGGGCCCGCACAAGCGGAGGAACAUGUGGUUUAAUUCGAUGAUACGCGAGGAACCUUACCCGGGCUUAAAUUGCAGUGGAAUGAUGUGGAAACAUGUCAGUGAGCAAUCACCGCUGUGAAGGUGCUGCAUGGUUGUCGUCAGCUCGUGCCGUGAGGUGUCGGCUUAAGUGCCAUAACGAGCGCAACCCUUAUCUUCAGUUACUAACAGGUCAUGCUGAGGACUCUGGAGAGACUGCCGUCGUAAGAUGUGAGGAAGGUGGGGAUGACGUCAAAUCAGCACGGCCCUUACGUCCGGGGCUACACACGUGUUACAAUGGGGGGUACAGAAGGCAGCUAGCGGGUGACCGUAUGCUAAUCCCAAAAUCCUCUCUCAGUUCGGAUCGAAGUCUGCAACCCGACUUCGUGAAGCUGGAUUCGCUAGUAAUCGCGCAUCAGCCACGGCGCGGUGAAUACGUUCCCGGGCCU
rnacentral:rRNA from 1 species